rnacentral:lncRNA from 1 species
GCACUGGACUUCCCACUCUGAGGAAUUAUUUUGGGGAAACAGAAGGUAGCCUUCAGGACAUUCCAUCACCUCUGCCAGCAUUUUGGAUUGAAUAUAUAUCUGAAGAAUAUAUACCCACUCCUGUAGUGGAUAAAGAUGUAUCAAGUCAGUGCAUCAAGGACAGAUGGGCAUGUGGUCAGUGAC